CGCACGGUGGAUGCCUUGGCACUAGGAGCCGAAGAAGGACGGGACUAACACCGAUAUGCUUUGGGGAGCUGUACGUAAGCGUUGAUCCAGAGAUUUCCGAAUGGGGGAACCCACUAUCUUUAGUCGGAUAGUAUCCUUACGUGAAUACAUAGCGUAAGGAAGGCAGACCCAGGGAACUGAAACAUCUAAGUACCUGGAGGAAGAGAAAGAAAAAUCGAUUUCCUGAGUAGCGGCGAGCGAAACGGAAAGAGCCCAAACCAAGAAGCUUGCUUCUUGGGGUUGUAGGACACUCUAUACGGAGUUACAAAAGAAAGUUAUAAAUGAAGCGGUCUGGAAAGGCCCGCCAAAGACGGUAACAGCCCGGUAGUUGAAAUGGCUUUCCCUCCAGAGUGGAUCCUGAGUACGGCGGAACACGUGAAAUUCCGUCGGAAUCCGGGAGGACCAUCUCCCAAGGCUAAAUACUCCCUAGUGACCGAUAGUGAACCAGUACCGUGAGGGAAAGGUGAAAAGCACCCCGGAAGGGGAGUGAAACAGUUCCUGAAACCGUGUGCCUACAAGUAGUUAGAGCCCGUUAAUGGGUGAUAGCGUGCCUUUUGUAGAAUGAACCGGCGAGUUACGAUUUGUUGCAAGGUUAAGCGGAAAAAGCGGAGCCGUAGCGAAAGCGAGUCUGAAUAGGGCGCAUAAGUAACAGGUCGUAGACCCGAAACCAGGUGAUCUACCCAUGUCCAGGAUGAAGGUAAGGUAAUACUUACUGGAGGUCCGAACCCACGCACGUUGAAAAGUGCGGGGAUGAGGUGUGGGUAGCGGAGAAAUUCCAAUCGAACUUGGAGAUAGCUGGUUCUCUCCGAAAUAGCUUUAGGGCUAGCCUCGAGGUAAAGAGUCAUGGAGGUAGAGCACUGUUUGGACUAGGGGCCCUUCUCGGGUUACCGAAUUCAGAUAAACUCCGAAUGCCAUGUACUUAUACUCGGGAGUCAGACUGCGAGUGAUAAGAUCCGUAGUCGAAAGGGAAACAGCCCAGACCACCAGUUAAGGUCCCCAAAUAUAUGUUAAGUGGAAAAGGAUGUGGGGUUGCUUAGACAACCAGGAUGUUGGCUUAGAAGCAGCCACCAUUGAAAGAGUGCGUAAUAGCUCACUGGUCGAGUGACCCCGCGCCGAAAAUGUACCGGGGCUAAACAUAUUA
rnacentral:rRNA from 1 species